AUUGAACGCUGGCGGCAGGCCUAACACAUGCAAGUCGAGCGGAUGAAGGGAGCUUGCUCCUGGAUUCAGCGGCGGACGGGUGAGUAAUGCCUAGGAAUCUGCCUGGUAGUGGGGGAUAACGUCCGGAAACGGGCGCUAAUACCGCAUACGUCCUGAGGGAGAAAGUGGGGGAUCUUGGGACCUCACGCUAUAGGAUGAGCCUAGGCCGGAUUAGCUAGUUGGUGGGGUAAAGGCCUACCAAGGCGACGAUCCGUAACUGGUCUGAGAGGAUGAUCAGUCACACUGGAACUGAGACACGGUCCAGACUCCUACGGGAGGCAGCAGUGGGGAAUAUUGGACAAUGGGCGAAAGCCUGAUCCAGCCAUGCCGCGUGUGUGAAGAAGGUCUUCGGAUUGUAAAGCACUUUAAGUUGGGAGGAAGGGCAGUAAGUUAAUACCUUGCUGUUUUGACGUUACCAACAGAAUAAGCACCGGCUAACUUCGUG
rnacentral:rRNA from 1 species